rnacentral:rRNA from 1 species
UACGUAGGGUGCAAGCGUUGUCCGGAAUUAUUGGGCGUAAAGAGCUCGUAGGCGGUUUGUCGCGUCGGCUGUGAAAACCCGGGGCUCAACCCCCGGGCCUGCAGUCGAUACGGGCAAACUAGAGUGUGGUAGGGGAGACUGGAAUUCCUGGUGUAGCGGUGAAAUGCGCAGAUAUCAGGAGGAACACCGGUGGCGAAGGCGGGUCUCUGGGCCAUAACUGACGCUGAGGAGCGAAAGCGUGGGAGCGAACAGG